rnacentral:rRNA from 1 species
AGUGAACGCUGGCGGUAGGCCUAACACAUGCAAGUCGAACGGCAGCACAGUAAGAGCUUGCUCUUACGGGUGGCGAGUGGCGGACGGGUGAGGAAUACAUCGGAAUCUACUUUUUCGUGGGGGAUAACGUAGGGAAACUUACGCUAAUACCGCAUACGACCUACGGGUGAAAGCAGGGGAUCUUCGGACCUUGCGCGAUUGAAUGAGCCGAUGUCGGAUUAGCUAGUUGGGGGGGUAAAGGCCCACCAAGGCGGCGAUCCGUAGCUGGACUGAGAGGAUGAUCAGCCACACUGGAACUGAGACACGGUCCAGACUCCUACGGGAGGAAGCAGUGGGGAAUAUUGGGCAAUGGGCGAAAGCCUGAUCCAGCCAUACCGCGUGGGUGAAGAAGGCCUUCGGGUUGUAAAGCCCUUUUGUUGGGAAAGAAAAGCAGCAGGUUAAUACCCAGCUGUUCUGACGGUACCCAAAGAAUAAGCACCGGCUAACUUCGUG